rnacentral:lncRNA from 1 species
UUUUUGUUGUAAAAAUGACAAAAGUGAACAAAUCUGAUAAAUUAAUGUGUUGAAAGGAUUAGAAAAAGGAUCUAGUGUUGAUUUCUUUUGAAUAUAUCUGGUGGAUUUUUAGCCUCAUAAAAAAUAAAAGAAAUAAAAUUAACAUACCUUAGUUUUUAAUUCCCACAAAAAAGUAUAAUCUAUGCUUUGAAUAUUGUUGAUAUUAUUUGUUGUAAUUUUGAAUGUGCGGAGGAUAGUCCGCCUGCGCGGAGGUCUCACCGUGAGGUCGCGUGGUAGCGCCUCGCCGCCGUGGAGCCGCUCCACCUGCAGAGGUAGUACUGCGCCGGCACGGCGGAGAGCAGCAGCGCGAUCUGCAGCGCAGCGGCGGGACUCAGCUGCGGCAUGUCUGCGCAGGCGGGACAGGUGCGGGAGCCAGCCACAUACGCGCGAGGAUCCCGCAAAUAACGAACAACAAAAAAGAAAAACACACAACACGCACUUGAGUGACAGCUGUUGCACGCGAUGUCAUCUGAUCAUAUGCCUCUCACCUGCUUCGAUCUUUAUCACAGCACCGACAUUGCCUCUGAACUUUUUGGCGGCGCCUUGAAACCGGAAACUCGGUUUCACUUCUGCUUUAUUUGCAUCCAAACUCUUUGGCCACCUGUGUAUUUACAUUCUUUGGGGAAUGUUGUCAAACCAAGUCGGCGCCCAAUAGAAGCGGCCCACGGGGGAAGACGCGGGACCUUUAGCGGCUCGCCACGUCAGGAAGAACCGGCGUUCAGGAACACGAGGCGCCCUGAUGCUUCCACGCGUGAUGGACGGAGCCCAAAUCUGACGCGCCGGUGAGUGUGCGUACCAUCAGGACGUGGACCAAGUUCCCGGUGGUGGAGUUCCACACCUUCAGCGUCAGAUUGUUGGCUGCUGUGAUCACCGUGCUGUCGUUGCGAUCCCACGCUACCAUGGUAACCUUCAACUUGGUCACUUUGUCUUCCAGAGGAGGAGGGUUGUACUUCCUGUUGGAAGAAAAUGCAAGACCAAUCUUAAACUGGAGGAGAUAAAAAUAAAGUUAGCUUUAUUGAGUUUAGUUGUGAACGGCCGAGUAGAAUAAAUAUAUGAGAAUAAACGUGUAAAAUUACGAGAAAAAACUCAAUUUUUUAAAAGAAUAAAGCCGAGGAGAAUAAAGGCCACCAUAAAAGAAGAGUUGUAAGUUGUAAUUUAUUAAGUUGUACAACUAUGACAGAGAAAAC